CACUGCAACUGGGCAUGCUGGCAGUUGUAGUGAACAAUAUCUGGGUAUCCCUGUUAGAGGGAACAGUGGAACCAAUCCCCAUCAGGUUGGGCAGAGCAUUCCCGGCUCUCCUGGGGGAUGCUGGGACUGGCAGGCCCUAUAUAAAGAAAAGCUGGCCGAUGGGGAGGAGCCGUGAGGAGCAGCCCUGAGAUCUCCAGAGCAGCUUGAGACUGCUUCGGCAGAGUUAGAGGGGGGCCUCGGGUGGUGCAAGCUCCCCCACCCCACCCCUGGAAGACACUCUGAGCCUUGGUGAAGGAAGACCGGUUUUGGAGCCAGCUAUACACCAGCAGGGCAUCGUUUCCCUGGUGUGCAGGUCACCCUUGAACCCAUAGGUCAUGCAGACAGGCAGAAAUGGCUGGCUUCAAGGCUCAGUGUGAAGCAAUGGAAAUGUUUGACUUCAUAAUGCUGCACAUGAAUGGCCUAAAUUUUGAGAGAGAGCAAACUACCUCCCAGAGGGUAAUCAUUGCACUUUUUAAAGGUGUCAUGGAUCAGAGUGGCUGAAGAUGCGUAUAGAUUCUGGUUUCCUUGCAACUAUGAAAGGAGGCUGGGGGAGGAAGAGCUACCUGGUUCCAUUCCACUCUGCCCAAGAAGAGAGAAAAUGCCACCUCAAGCACAUGUUCCAAAUGUCAUCUUAGAAGAUAUCAUCAUCCCUCCUCUGUGAGAAAGGAGACAAAAUGCCUCUUCUGAUACGAUGCUUUGCUAGGAUACAUGAGUGCAUCACCUAAAAAAUAAAGUAUGUUUGUUCA